GGUUAGCUCAAUUGGUUAAGAGCGUGGUGCAAAUAAUGCCAAGGUCACAGGUUUGAUCCCUGUAAGGGCCA